rnacentral:snoRNA from 1 species
UGCAAUGAUGAUUCACUAGACUAGAGUCUCUGACUAUCCAGUGAUGCUCUUUCACAGUGCA